CCUACGGGAGGCAGCAGUGAGGAAUAUUGGUCAAUGGGCGGAAGCCUGAACCAGCCAAGUAGCGUGCGGGAUGAAGGCCCUACGGGUCGUAAACCGCUUUUGCACGGGGAUAACACCCUCCACUUGUGGAGGUCUGCAGGUACCGUUCGAAUAAGGGCCGGCUAAUUCGGGGCCAGCAGCCGCGGUAAUACGGAAGGCCCGAGCGUUAUCCGGAUUUAUUGGGCUUAAAGGGAGGGUAGUCGGGCGAUAAAGUCAGCGGUAAAAUCGCGCGGCUCAACCGCGCCCCGCAGUUGAAACUGGACGGCUUGAGUUCACAACAGGCAGGCGGAAUUCGGGGUGUAGCGGUGAAAUGCAUAGAUAUCACGAGGAACCCCGAUUGCGAAGGCAGCCUGCCGGGGUGCGACUGACGCUGAGGCUCGAAGGUGCGGGUAUCAAACAGGAUUAGAUGCCCUGGUAGUC
rnacentral:rRNA from 1 species